UAAGGAUAUCAGAAAGUUCCUGGAUGGUAUUUACGUCUCGGAGAAGGGCACUGUAGUGGAGCCGGAGUCGUAGAGAACACGUGAGCUGCUCUGAUCCAGCAGGCCACCACUGUGAGAAA